GACGUAGGGGGCCAGCGUUGCUCGGAAUUACUGGGUGUAAAGGGUUCGUAGGCGGUGUGGCAAGUCGGGGAGUGAAAUCUCUGGGCUCAACUGCAGGGGCUGCUUCCGAAACUGCCGUGCUAGAGUGUGGGAGAGGCGCGUGGAAUUGCAGGUGUAGCGGUGAAAUGCGUAGAUAUCUGCAGGAACACCCGUGGCGAAAGCGGCGCGCUGGACCACUACUGACGCUGAGGAACGAAAGCUAGGGGAGCAAACAGG
rnacentral:rRNA from 1 species